GAUGAAGAACGUAGCGAAAUGCGAUAAGUAAUGUGAAUUGCAGAAUUCAGUGAAUCAUCGAAUCUUUGAACGCACAUUGCGCCCCCUGGUAUUCCGGGGGGCAUGCCUGUUCGAGCGUCAUUUCACCACUCAAGCCUCGCUUGGUAUUGGGCAACGCGGUCCGCCGCGUGCCUCAAAUCGACCGGCUGGGUCUUCUGUCCCCUAAGCGUUGUGGAAACUUUCGCUAAAGGGUGUUCGGGAGGCUACGCCGUAAAACAACCCCAUUUCUAAGGUUGACCUCGGAUCAGGUAGGGAUACCCGCUGAACUUAAGCAUAUCAAUAAGCGGGAGGA
rnacentral:misc_RNA from 1 species